GCUUCCUGUCAGAAAAUAGGAGAAAAAAAUUAUUGGAAUAAAGAUAAGUGUGCAAUGAGGAGCAUUUAAAGUGUCUCACUUUUCAGGUUGCUGAGGCAGUAACAAGGAAAUUGAAGUGCUGCUGGUCUGUAGCUUUGUUCUGGUCCUCAGCUUCCGCUGCUAGCAGCAGCAGGCUCUUUAGGCAGCACGGAUCCAGGUGAACGAGCUCAGAGUAGUUGUGGCUGAAGA